rnacentral:lncRNA from 1 species
AGGUGAGAGACUCUGGAUAUACCAUGGCCAUGAGGUGAUGUAACUGAAGCAUUUGUCAGAUUGAAAUGGUCGAUGCAUCACAACAAUAAAUCUGACACCACUUUAUCAGAGCCUUUCUUUGAAGCUUAGGAAUGAAUCUAUGAUUCUUCUGGAUCUUGGAUCCAAGUUGAGAAGGCACCGGACCACCAGAGACCCAGAGACCCUUUCACUCGAAUCGCAGCUGGAGGAUUCUUCACACUCAUUGUUUUUGGCAGGAUGCUUCACUCGAUGAGUAACGGCAGGAGCAACGAUGUGACCACAAGCAAUUUGAAUUAUAAAGCUCCUCCUUUAUUAAAAAGAAAAUAAAUAAACUUAUCAGGCCAGAAGAAUAAGAAUCGAAUGUGAUUUUAAGUUCUGAUACAGAACAUUACAAGGAACCGAAAAAAUAUAUAUAUUCUUUAUCGAUUGUGGAUGAUUUGAGCAUUUUGAUUACCCAGCUUCUCUUUCUUCCUGUCCUGAUUCAGCAUGUCUCUCUGGUCCCAGAGACCUAAUCCAACUAUCCGACUCUUUGCACAACAAAGGAACAACGCCUCGCUGGAUCCCCAUGAUCUUGUUCACCCAAUUCCAGCAUGACUCUCAAUCAGCUAAACCCAUUAUUUUUGUUCAUCCUCGGUACAAGCUCUUAAUAAGAUAUCGAGUGGUCGGCACUCGACCACAUGCAAAGCUGAUCCGCGUCCGUCCCACCUGGUACCGGAGCGGGUAGCGACUUCGCCAGCGUAAGUAGAACUAUGAGAAUCAGGCAAGGGACCCGAAUCCAGGCUGGCGGGCGGGCCCCAGCCAGCCGGCCGUUGCAUGUGGGUGGGCCCCGGAGCGGUCGCGUUACGCGUCCGCGGGCCGCCCCUCCGUCUCCCUCUGGUCUCUCUAUAAAGCUCUCCUCUUCCCACCCCUUGGCAUACGAAAGAAGCGAGGAAAGCAUAGGAAAAGAGAAGCACAUUCCGUUCGGGCUGUGAGGUUCUGCGCGUGCUGAUCUCCUCUGUUUGUGUUCGGGGGCGGGGGGAUUAUCCUUGCGCACUUUGGGUUUUCCGGUGUUCUUAAGAAGGAGGGAGAUGGCUCGGGUUCCUUCCUUCCUGAUGGUCGUCGUGGCCCUCGUGUCCGCUAUCGUGCUGGUGCCCGCCGUCCGGGCACAGUCUCCGGCGCCGGCGCCUGCUCCCACCAGCGACGGUGAGUCAUGCUUCCUUUCUCUUCUCUUCUCCCUCUAAAUGUAGGUGUAAUCUAUCUAUGUCCGACUCUUCGAUGCGAAAGAACCUUAAUACUGUGAUGGUGCAGGGGUGGCGAUCGACCAAGGGAUUGCUUAUGUGCUGAUGCUGGCUGCCUUACUCCUCACCUAUCUCAUCCAUCCUCUGGAUGCAGCCUCCGCCUCUGACAAGCUCUUCUGAGUCGACAUACAUCCAUCGAUGCUUCCUCUGAAAAGUCUGAAAUGGGCGUGCUUUUUCUUUUCCGUUUUGAGUCGAGAUGAUGGGGUGUGAUGUGAUUUGGGCCCCCCAUUCUGUUUGGGCUGUGUGGACUAAUAUGAUCUAUUCAUUAUAUGAUCUAUUCAUUAUAUGAUCUAUUCUUUUUAUUUUAUUUUAUUCCUUUUACUGGGAGCUUGACGGCUACGCAAUGCUUUGUUUGCCGUGGAAGCUGGAAGCAGUCGGGCAUACCUGGGACUUCCACGUAGAAAAUAAAUACUUGGCCAAGGAAACACCAACUCCACCUCCACCGGAAGGCCCUGCACGCAAUCAAAAAAAAAAAAAAAAAAGACGGGGCUGUGUGAGAAAGUCUUCGAUACGACUGAGUACGACACUUUCGAAAGAAAAUAACCUUAUAAGAAAGAAAGAAAGAAAAAAAAGCCCCCUGAUCCUUCAACGAUAAUUUUAAAGAAUUUUCUAUCGAUUGUGGCAAAUUUUAGAAUGCAGAACAUGAUAUUUAACAUUAGAAAUUGUUCAAAACCCAAAUUAUAGAUUGUACAAUCUGAUUAUACUGUUGAUCUGAUUUUGUUAAUUGUGUAGGUUGCAUCUAUAUUUUUUAUGAUUUACAGAAUUUUUAAUUCAAUUUUUUUGGUUGUUAAUAUUUUAAUUCAUGAAAAGUAGUGUUGAGAUUUUGUAAAUCAUGCUGUUAUUUUAUUUAAAUGAUUAUGCAUAUAAAAAUUCACUUUUUUGAAAUUUUUAUCAAUUAUUUGAAUUACUGUAGAAUUUUAGAAAUCUGUGAAAAAGGAAUUAAAUAGAAAAUCAGAAUUAAAAUUGAUCUGACUCAGAUCGGAUCUGAGUCAGACCAGGCGGUCGGGCUCGAUCAGGCCCAACCAACACAACCUGCAGCCUGGUUUAACCCCGGUGACGUGCAGACCCGACCCGACCUAUGGCUCGGUCCGGCGCGACCUUGAGCCUGGGUUCGGGUUCGACUCGAGUCUAGUGGCUCGACUGGACCAGGCCAGUACAGCCUGAUCGGCUCGGCGCAGUUAUGGGCUAAGCAGCCCGCUGCGAGUGGCCCAACUCCGUGUGGCCUACAGGCUACAACCGAAACGGCCUGGCCCAGGCGCCGCCACUUCGUGCAGCCCAGCCUGCAGACCGCCCCUCUUCCAUUGCACGUGCCCUGCACGUCACACUCUAUGGGUUGGAUUCGGGCUAGGGUUGGCCCAGUAGCCCUGUUUUGACUCUCUUUAGGGAGCCCAAUUAACCUCUAAGUUGAACCUGAAUCGAAUUGGGUUGACCAAUUUUAGCUGAUUCAGGUGAUUCCGAACCGAUUUAGAUCGAUUCAACGUUAACCUAAAUUAGACCAUAGAUGGGAAAAAACAAACAAGUAUAUGAAAUUCAACAAACCAAAAUAAAAGCAGGAUAAAGAAAGGACACUUUCAGUAUUAAAAGAAAAAAAGCAGGAAUCAACUUGAUUGGUUUAACUUUCAAAUCUUCACUAUAUGAUUGGCUAAUUGUAAGAUUCCAAAUAGCAAUAUAUAAUCCAUACAGAAUAAGAAACAAUUAUAACAAGAGAAAAAGAGAAAAAAAAUCAUAGUUCCAGAAACUUAUUCUUGCAGAAAGAUCAGCUGUAUCCCUAUUAUGUAUUAACAAAUUCAAACAACAGUGCUAACAUGCAUAAUAUAGUCCGAGUUUCCUGAGAGCCAUCCACUGCAACACAUGUUUUCUGAUACACUAUCUGAUACACAGUUAUCAGAUACUAUGUUAUCUGAUACACAGUGAUCAGAUGUUUUCUGAUCAACCCUCAAUAAGAUCCUCGAAGAAAAACCUUAAACUAAGAAAGGCAGUCUGCUGUAGUAGCAUAGAAGACUCAUUAGUUGAUAAGAAACCUACCUUCGGUAGGGAUCAUGUGCUAUAUAGAGCACCAUCCAAUAUUAACCUAUAGAACAAUGAGAAGAGUAAACUACUUUACACCUAGAAUUAAUACUUUGCAAUGCCAUUCUCUGAUAAUUAUUUAUCAUAUGGGCCAAUUGUUUCCAUUUGUCCAUUCAGAUUUGUUUUUACCUUUGUUAAGUUCAGCCACUAAAUUGAUGCUUUCAUAAAAAUUUCAACUACUUGAUCCUUAUUUUCUUUCAAGACAAAUGGUUCUUCUACUGUUGUACAGCUUGGUAGAUAUCAGAGCUGCAAAAACUUUUGCAUCAAAAGAUGAAUUUAAAUUCUUCUGAUACCAAUUUUCAGUCAACAAUAUUUAGUUUGUUUCUAUUAUUUUAACAGUGGUAUACUUUUCUUUAAAGGUAUUCAGUCAGAACAGAGUUUCAGAUAUGUUUGUCCAACAGAUACCAUCAGAAAAAAAGAAGACAAUGCAAACACAUUACCUCAUAAAAGAAUACCUGCCAUAUAUGCCUGUCACCCUGAUGUUGCAAGUGUUUGAUUCUCCAGCUCCUUGUGUGUGUGCAACCUUGUCCGUAAAGAAGAGAGCAAAGAGAUCCAUUAAGCCCACAAAGUAAACAUGCAAUCAUAAACUUUAAAGAAACCAAAUCUUUGAAGAGUUGAAGAACCUAGUUCUUAAAAAAAAAGAAAAAUCAUUACAUCAAAAAGGCAUACGCUCACACGUAAAUUCGAACAUGAGAACUAUCACUAAUGCAAUAAUGCACUAAUCAACCUGGAUGUCUCAUUGGACCUAUCACUUGUGUUAAUAAUGUACUAAUCAACCUGAAUGUCUCAAUAGAAUAAGAACCAAAUUCUAAAAACAUGCCGUGAAAUAAUGGCAAUCUCUUAAAGAAAACUAGAAUUUCAAUUCCCACCAACCAGAAGAAAUAUAAGGUGAUCAAAAUAGCACAAAAUUAUUCAAGAACACAGAGAGGCGAAGCGGUUCUUCACAAACGUUUUCUCUUAAGAAAGACAAAUAACCUAACAGCUAAAUCUAAAAGCACAAAUUGGUACCUAAAUAGUUUUGGUUCAAGAACAUGUCCUGUAGACGAAGCAGAAUCAUAAUAAUUGCAGGCUUUUCAUCGUCCUACACAAAUAUUUACAAGAUAAUAGGCAUUUGACUCAUGUGCUUAACAAAACUUGCCUACCAGAAGCAAAGAACCCUUUCUUUCUUGUCCUGUAUCAUUUGGGAACCUCAAGAUUGCAUCACAAAGGAUUACACCAUUGAACGUCGCUUUGGAAAGCAGAGAAAGAUGCUUAGUUUGCACAACCGACUCAACGUAGGGCACCCAGACGAAUCAAAACAAUCAAUUGCGGAGGCAAGAAAAACCCCCCUUAACUUCUUGGACGAAAUGGAAGAACCUAACCUCUUCUUGAAUCUUGGUCAAGGAGAUGGCUCCGUCGGCGAAGCCGACCCCAGAAUCAGAGGAAGGGAGGCGAUGAGGACGAAGAGAGGAGGGAGCAGCGACAGUGGCGUCAUAGGAGGAGGAGAGGAAGAUGAUGAUGGAGAAGAUUAGUUGGAUUAUUUAUUCCUCAAAU